CUAAUGGAGAUUUAGUUGACGUACCUCAAGGACGUAAAUCGUCCAGCACGUAUACGUAUGCCAGCUUGAUUUGGCGUAAGCGAGCGCAGACGUUGAUUAAGUCUGAUGUGAAAGCCCGGAGCUCAACUCCGGAAUGGCAUUGGAAACUGGUUAACUUGAGUGCAGUAGAGGUAAGUGGAACUCCAUGUGUAGCGGUGGAAUGCGUAGAUAUAUGGAAGAACACCAGUGGCGAAGGCGGCUUACUGGACUGUAACUGACGUUGAGGCUCGAAAGUGUGGGUAGCAAACAGGAUUAGAUACCCUGGUAGUCCACACCGUAAACGAUGAACACUAGGUGUUAGGAGGUUUCCGCCUCUUAGUGCCGAAGCUAACGCAUUAAGUGUUCCGCCUGGGGAGUACGACCGCAAGGUUGAAACUCAAAGGAAUUGACGGGGACCCGCACAAGCGGUGGAGCAUGUGGUUUAAUUCGAAGCAACGCGAAGAACCUUACCAGGUCUUGACAUCCUUUGAAGCUUUUAGAGAUAGAAGUGUUCUCUUCGGAGACAAAGUGACAGGUGGUGCAUGGUCGUCGUCAGCUCGUGUCGUGAGAUGUUGGGUUAAGUCCCGCAACGAGCGCAACCCUUAUUGUUAGUUGCCAGCAUUCAGAUGGGCACUCUAGCGAGACUGCCGGUGACAAACCGGAGGAAGGCGGGGACGACGUCAGAUCAUCAUGCCCCUUAUGACCUGGGCUACACACGUGCUACAAUGGCGUAUACAACGAGUUGCCAACCCGCGAGGGUGAGCUAAUCUCUUAAAGUACGUCUCAGUUCGGAUUGUAGUCUGCAACUCGACUACAUGAAGUCGGAAUCGCUAGUAAUCGCGGAUCAGCACGCCGCGGUGAAUACGUUCCCGGGUCUUGUACACACCGCCCGUCACACCAUGGGAGUUUGUAAUGCCCAAAGCCGGUGGCCUAACCUUUUAGGAAGGAGCCGUCUAA
rnacentral:rRNA from 1 species